CGACAUGCGAGCUCUGAGAGUCGUAAGGACUCGGCGGACCGCUCAGUAACACGCGGAUAACAUGCCCUUGGGUGGAGGAUAAUCUCGGUAAACUGAGGAUAAUACUCCAUAGAUCUACUAUGCUGGAAUGCUUGUAGAUCCAAAACUCCGGUGCCCAAGGAUUGGUCUGCGGCGUAUCAGGUCGUAGUGGGCGUAACGGACCCACUAGCCAGUGACGCGUAAGGGCCUUGAGAGAGGAAGCCCUGAGAUGGACUCUGAGACAUGAGUCCAGGCCCUACGGGGCGCAGCAGUCGCGAAAACUUCACAAUGGGGGAAACCCCGAUGAGGGAAUUCCAAGUGUCAGCACAUUGUGUUGACUGUUCCCCUGUCUAAAAAACAGGAGAAGUAAGGGCCGGGUAAGACGGGUGCCAGCCGCCGCGGUAAUACCCGCGGCCCGAGUGGUGGUCGAUAUUAUUGAGCCUAAAACGUUCGUAGCCGGUCUUGUAAAUCCUUGGGUAAAUCGGCCAGCUUAACUGUCCGAAGUCCGGGGAGACUGCAAGACUUGGGAUCGGGAGAGGUCAGAGGUACUUCUGGGGUAGGGGUAAAAUCCUGUAAUCCUAGAAGGACCACCGGUGGCGAAGGCGUCUGACUAGAACGAAUUCGACGGUGAGGAACGAAGCCCUGGGGCGCAAA
rnacentral:rRNA from 1 species